rnacentral:rRNA from 1 species
CCUACGGGUGGCUGCAGUGAGGAAUAUUGGUCAAUGGACGAGAGUCUGAACCAGCCAAGUAGCGUGAAGGAUGACUGCCCUAUGGGUUGUAAACUUCUUUUAUAUGGGAAUAAAAUGUUCCACGUGUGGGAGUUUGUAUGUACCAUAUGAAUAAGGAUCGGCUAACUCCGUGCCAGCAGCAGCGGUAAUACGGAGGAUCCGAGCGUUAUCCGGAUUUAUUGGGUGUAAAGGGAGCGUAGGUGGAUUGUUAAGUCAGUUGUGAAAGUGUGCGGCUCAACCGUAAAAUUGCAGUUGAAACUGGCAGUCUUGAGUACAGUAGAGGUGGGCGGAAUUCGUGGUGUAGCGGUGAAAUGCUUAGAUAUCACGAAGAACUCCGAUUGCGAAGGCAGCUUACUGGACUGCAACUGACACUGAGGCUCGAAAGUGUGGGUAUCAAACAGGAUUAGAUACCCCAGUAGUC